AUUGAACGCUGGCGGCAUGCCUUACACAUGCAAGUCGAACGGUAACGGGCCUUCGGGUGCCGACGAGUGGCGAACGGGUGAGUAAUACAUCGGAACGUGCCCGAUCGUGGGGGAUAACGAGGCGAAAGCUUUGCUAAUACCUCAUACGAUCUACGGAUGAAAGCAGGGGACCGCAAGGCCUUGCGCGGACGGAGCGGCCGAUGGCAGAUUAGGUAGUUGGGGGGAUAAAAGCUUACCAAGCCGACGAUCUGUAGCUGGUCUGAGAGGAUGAUCAGCCACACUGGGACUGAGACACGGCCCAGACUCCUACGGGAGGCAGCAGUGGGGAAUUUUGGACAAUGGGCGCAAGCCUGAUCCAGCCAUGCCGCGUGCAGGAUGAAGGCCUUCGGGUUGUAAACUGCUUUUGUACGGAACGAAAAGCCUUCUUUUAAUACAGGAGGGUCAUGACGGUACCGUAAGAAUAAGCACCGGCUAACUACGUG
rnacentral:rRNA from 1 species